ACCUACGGGGGGCAGCAGUGAGGAAUAUUGGUCAAUGGUCGGGAGACUGAACCAGCCAAGCCGCGUGAGGGAGGAAGGUACAGAGUAUCGUAAACCUCUUUUGUCAGGGAACAAAGGCGGGGACGUGUCCCCGGAUGGGUGUACCUGAAGAAAAAGCAUCGGCUAACUCCGUGCCAGCAGCCGCGGUGAUACGGAGGAUGCGAGCGUUAUCCGGAUUUAUUGGGUUUAAAGGGUGCGCAGGCGGUCUGUUAAGUCAGCGGUCAAAGCCCGGGGCUCAACCCCGGCCCGCCGUUGAAACUGGCAGU
rnacentral:rRNA from 1 species